AAGAGAAAGCGAGAAGUGAUAGGUGCCCAGGGAAUAAUGCAUGUGGCUGCCGGUAAGACUACUUCGAUAAUCUCCAUAAUCCCAAUCCCUCUUCCACGGCUGAGCCACCACCGUUGCUAUCUACCCCACCGCCGUCCCCUCAUUCUCUCGUCGCCUAUAGGAUUCCCAACCGCCAAGAGACCAAUGGUCACCGCUAGCAGCAGCAGCAGCUCCAUUCCCAACAGCCAAGGAGCAUUCACAACAAUUGAAGGCAGAUUCACUUGCGAAAAGGAGAUCAAGAAGAGCAAAUUCAUCGCCAUUGCUGGCCAUAUCUCCGACCAACGCCAAGCCGAAUCCUUCCUUUCCGAGGUUGGGGAUCCUCGUGCCACACAUAAUUGUUGGGCGUACAAGGUUGGGGAUCAAUACCGGAGUAAUGAUGAUGGUGAACCAUCUGGUACAGCUGGCAAACCGAUACAUUCUGCAAUUGUUUCUUCGGGAUUAGACAGAGUCAUGGUUGUUGUAAUCAGGUAUUUUGGAGGAAUUAAACUUGGUACUGGCGGACUAGUUAGAGCUUAUGGAGGAACUGCUGCAGAAUGCUUGAGAAAUGCUCCUACGCAGCUUGUAAAAUCUAAGGUUUCUAUGGGUGUAGAGGUUCCUUUUGAUCUUUUAGGGGUUCUGUACCACCAGCUCCAAACUUAUAAAGUUGAAGACAUUAAACAGGAUUACGAUACAGGGAAAGGUGGAGUCACGAUGGUUACUUUCAAAGUUGAUUUUGACCGCAUGCAAAGUUUAGAGGAAGCUAUCAAAACUAAUUGCAGCCGGGAUAUUGCAAUUUUCAAGCGCUGAAAUAUUCUUAUGAGCUCACUCUCAAGGCAGCACGCUGUCUUUCAGAGAAUUGAGGCCAUGUUCUUUAUUCCUGAUUACAAGUUACUAUAGUUUUUUGGAGAUAGCACCCUCCUAGUAGAGGCUCUUCCCAUUUCCCCAACUGCAGUAGGCUGAAGGUUGAUCCAUGGAGUUGACCAUCCUAGUGAUGAAGAAGAAGUUGCAGACAUAUAUAGUGAUCCGCCACCAAUAUUACAGUUCUUGACUUUUUAGCAAAGCUUUGAAUAGUUUGCGUCCCACAGUGAGCUUCUUCCAUUAUAAAUUGGGACUCAAGACACCCUACUUCUUCAUCUGUAUUUCCAUUAUAAUCUUUCUUGAAUUCAUACCUUCUCAAAGAGCUCAUGAAGCCUGACAUCAAUUUGGUUCUCCAAGCUCUCUUGGUUAUAGCUCUUCUGUCUGCUUCUCCUGCUUUAGGUGCUGAAACACGGCAAACACCAAAAACAAUUGAGGGUGGUGAGGCGGCAGCUGUUGGGGCGGAUGGGCAGCACGUCGGUGACAUGAAGCCAGUAAAUUAUGGGUACAAAUGGGGUAUAAAAGGCGGUGCCGGUCAUAGCAUCGGCUAUGGUUGGCCAUAUAAGGGUGGGCAUGGUUGGGGUUGGAAGGGUGGCUAUGGGGGAUGCAAGCUGGGCUGCUGCUUUCACUUCGCCGGAAAAUGUAAAUAUUGCUGCAAAAGCGUUGAAGAAGCCCAGGCUUAUAACAAAAAUUAUGAGCCCAAGCUUACUCCGCCAUAGACGUAUUACUUACCAUACAUUCAUGAACCAAACCGGCCGUCACAGUACGAGUUUCCACUUGUAAUGGAAAUCAAAGUAAAAUCUGUGAUUAAUAAAUAAAAUUUUGGUUCUUUCUAUA